rnacentral:tRNA from 1 species
AAAUAUAUUAAUCAGGUCACGGAUUAGUGUAUUCAUAAUGCUGGGGUCGGUGGUUCAAGUCCACCCGUAGCUACCA